UGUGACAUGCACCAGCUUCAGGUACUUCUUCCAGAACAGAGUUCUUGUUGUGGCCUCAGGGUAGGUGGUAAGACCCUCGGCGGUGCCAAGACAUGGGCUCUGGUCCCCACCUUCUUCUCACUCCCCACACCCAACCACCAGGUCGGGGUUACUAGAACUCAGUCUGCUUUGGGGAAAGAAGACUGUGUUCUAACAUUUACUUACCAGAUAGAGCUGAGUUUUCAUUAAACAAACAGCUAUUUGACUAAUGGGUUUGGCCUUGGAACAGGAGCAGGCUGCUUACAUUUCCAGGUUGUCACAAUUCUGGGUUAUAGUUCAUAUCUGCAGCAGGUGUGUCCACGGUCAUGGGGCUUUGCAUUUGGUUACCUUGCUGAUGGGAUCAAACACACACACACACAAGAUUGCUGGUGAAAGAAAAGAGUUGCUAUGUACAGUAACUCAAAUGAUUGAUCCUGUUAACCCUGCUCACUGCACAGGACGCUGCCGGUGGGGCAAGACUGGGUUGUGAAAUGGGAAAAUAUGGCCUAUUCCUGGGGAAGAAGGGAUCUUCUCUCCAGCAACACAGCUCCGACAGCAGGAUGAUUUAUCAUAGUAAAAAAAAAGAGUUCUUGAAAUGCUUGUCACUGAAAUCUUGUGAAAACGAUCAGUAUGGAAACUGGAAACAUCUACAGUCUGGCCUUGUUGAUUAAUGGAUUCAUUCCUGGGGUUAUUAGUAAAUGUCUUAGCUUCUCAGAGUCAGAGCUUCUUCCUUUUGCAAAGUAGAAAAAAAUGCUUCCUUCUUUAAUCUUUUAUUUUACAGGCGUUUUGUGAGGUCCUUUGAGACCCAUAAGGGAAAAUGGAAAAGAUGUUAUAAAAUUUAAAGUGUUAUUUGUUAUGGAUAUUAUUUAAAAUAAAAUCUAGCCUAAAGCAAAAGUCUCAUUCAUCAGAGAGUUAAGUCUCAAGCUCCAUCAUCGCAUUAAUAGACUUUGCUUGCAAAGGAAAACUAAAAUAUUCCUGGUAAAACAAUCUGAUUCCAUCAUCCCAGUGAAUAAUGAUAAUGCCCUGACCUUCAAUUAAUUCAGUGACUGAGCUCUACUUAAUAAAUAUGUGAGGACCACCAGCAGAGAGUGAUAGAACUCUUUAGUACUUAAGAAACAUUGGCUGGCAAUCCUAAUGGAAUAUUCUAGAACUGUGUAUGCUUGCCAGAGUGUGGAAAGUAGGAUGAUAAGAGAGCGGUGAAUCACUAUCAAUGAAACUUCCCAAAGACAGGAAACAAGACACAAGGGGUUCUAGGAGCAGAACAACUCACUUUCACCAUAGACUACAAGAUCAGAAAGGUUAAGAAGUCACACAUCAAGAACAUCUUCAACACCACUUUGCAUACAUUCUGUUGGAGUGCUGUUCUACCUGUGACCUCUUUACCCGUGGUCCUUCCCCACAUAUGAAGCUGUCCUGAGAUAGAGUGGGCCGGAGGGUGGGGUGAGGGUGAGUGCAAGCAUUGGCCCAUCCAACCCCCAUCAGAUGGGUUGGGAAGGAAGUCGAGCGAUGGAUGUGGGGUUGGCCUCCGUGCUCUUAAGAUCUCUCCCACCCCUGUGAAUCUGUGGCCUGUGACUUCAUCAGAGAAGCUUUAUUGCUCCUUCUAAAGAUGCAUGAAAGCAAUGUCAGAUCUUUCUUAAAUCCCACGUGUUUUUCCACCCUCCUUUCCUGUCCAUGAUGGUGAUGUACCUGUAUAGAGUUGCUUUCCAAAUGAAACAUUGCGUGGUUCCAUAUGGUUCCUGGUCUUUGUGGGACCUGAUUGCCUGGCUGUUUCUCUCUACCAGCUGGGACAGCAGGGACACUGCCCCUGGUGAGCCACGGCACAGUGCCAGCACAGUGCCAGAAUUUUCAGGUGGACUUUGAAGUCCUUAUAGGAUCAUGGCUGCACCUGGGAUUUGUUAACUAGAAGGGGCUGAGUUGAGACCACAAGCCUUGAAGUGACUGUCUGGUCAGCACUUACCAGUGCCUUUCUUGCUUACCCUCAGCCUCUUUCUUCUGUCCUCAAACCAUUAUUUAAUCACGUGACAUUACAUAAUCAUCUGAUACCUCUGUGUUCCAGAGAUUUACCAGUAUUGGCUCACUCUAGCUGCCCCUGCCUAUUUUUCUGUAGACAAAUUUCCUCCAUCAGUGCAUUGAUUUUUCACUUGCCUCAUUAUUCCCAAAGCCAGACAUUUGACUUCCAGCUAUGUCUUUACUUAUUUUUCCUACCCUU